GAAAGGCGCUUUCGGGUGUCGCUGAUGGAUGGACCCGCGGUGCAUUAGCUAGUUGGUGAGGUAACGGCUCACCAAGGCGACGAUGCAUAGCCGACCUGAGAGGGUGAUCGGCCACAUUGGGACUGAGACACGGCCCAAACUCCUACGGGAGGCAGCAGUAGGGAAUCUUCGGCAAUGGACGAAAGUCUGACCGAGCAACGCCGCGUGAGUGAAGAAGGUUUUCGGAUCGUAAAACUCUGUUGUUAGAGAAGAACAAGGAUGAGAGUAACUGUUCAUCCCUUGACGGUAUCUAACCAGAAAGCCACGGCUAACUACGUGCCAGCAGCCGCGGUAAUACGUAGGUGGCAAGCGUUGUCCGGAUUUAUUGGGCGUAAAGCGAGCGCAGGCGGUUUCUUAAGUCUGGUGUGAAAGCCCCCGGCUCAACCGGGGAGGGUCAUUGGAAACUGGGAGACUUGAGUGCAGAAGAGGAGAGUGGAAUUCCAUGUGUAGCGGUGAAAUGCGUAGAUAUAUGGAGGAACACCAGUGGCGAAGGCGGCUCUCUGGUCUGUAACUGACGCUGAGGCUCGAAAGCGUGGGGAGCAAACAGGAUUAGAUACCCUGGUAGUCCACGCCGU
rnacentral:rRNA from 1 species